rnacentral:rRNA from 1 species
AGGAUUAACGCUGGCGGCGUGCAUGAAACAUGCAAGUCGAGCGCGGUGUGAUGCGGGGUAACCCAAUUCACAUCUAGCGGCGAACGGGUGAGUAACACGUGAGCAACCUACCUUUGAGUUGGGGAUAGCCCUGGGAAACCAGGAUUAAUACCCGAUGUGGUCACAACAGGACAUCCUGAUGUGAGUAAAGGCGUAAGCCGCUCAAUGACGGGCUCGCGGCCUAUUAGCUUGUUGGUGGGGUAACGGCCUACCAAGGCGAUGAUGGGUAGCUGGUCUGAGAGGACGAUCAGCCACACUGGGACUGAGACACGGCCCAGACUCCUACGGGAGGCAGCAGUUAGGAAUUUUCCGCAAUGGGCGAAAGCCUGACGGAGCAACGCCGCGUGAGUGAUGAAGACCUUCGGGUUGUAAAGCUCUGUCGGAGGGGAAGAUAAUGACGGUACCCGCAGAAGAAGCCCCGGCUAACUUCGUGCCAGCAGCCGC